UCAAGCUCAAUUUGAAAAAUACUCUACAUAAACAAAUUUAAAAAAUAGUCUUGUUUGCAAAAGUAAGGAGGAGAAAAUAUUAAAAAAAUUAAAAAAUCUAAUUUUAAAGAUUAAACUCUUGUUAAAUGUGCCUAAUUUGAAAGAAAAAGGAGAAAAAAAGUUUUAAAAAAAAAUUAUUCAGUAAUAAUUAUGAAAAAUAGGG
rnacentral:lncRNA from 1 species